rnacentral:rRNA from 1 species
GGCGAAAGCCUGAUGCAGCAACGCCGCGUGAGCGAAGAAGGCCUUUGGGUCGUAAAGCUCUGUCCUUGGGGAAGAUAAUGACGGUACCCAUGGAGGAAGCCCCGGCUAACUACGUGCCAGCAGCCGCGGUAAUACGUAGGGGGCGAGCGUUAUCCGGAAUUAUUGGGCGUAAAGAGUGCGUAGGUGGUUCUUUAAGCGUGAGGUGAAAGGCAAUAGCUCAACUAUUGUAAGCCUUGCGAACUGGGGGACUUGAGUGCAGGAGAGGAAAGCGGAAUUCCUAGUGUAGCGGUGAAAUGCGUAGAUAUUAGGAGGAACACCAGUGGCGAAGGCGGCUUUCUGGACUGUAACUGACACUGAGGCACGAAAGCGUGGGGAGCAAACAGGAUUAGAUACCCUGGUAG